GAUGAACGCUGGCGGCGUGCCUAAUACAUGCAAGUCGAGCGAACAGAUGAGGAGCUUGCUCCUCUGACGUUAGCGGCGGACGGGUGAGUAACACGUGGAUAACCUACCUAUAAGACUGGGAUAACUUCGGGAAACCGGAGCUAAUACCGGAUAAUAUAUUGAACCGCAUGGUUCAAUAGUGAAAGACGGUUUUGCUGUCACUUAUAGAUGGAUCCGCGCCGCAUUAGCUAGUUGGUAAGGUAACGGCUUACCAAGGCAACGAUGCGUAGCCGACCUGAGAGGGUGAUCGGCCACACUGGAACUGAGACACGGUCCAGACUCCUACGGGAAGGAGCAGGAGGGAAUCUUCCGCAAUGGGCGAAAGCCUGACGGAGCAACGCCGCGUGAGGGAUGAAGGUCUUCGGAUCGUAAAACUCUGUUAUUAGGGAAGAACAAAUGUGUAAGUAACUAUGCACGUCUUGACGGUAACUAAUCAGAAAGGCACGGCUAACUACGUG
rnacentral:rRNA from 1 species